AUUGAACGCUGGCGGCAGGCCUAACACAUGCCAGUCGAGCGGAUGAAGGGAGCUUGCUCCUGGAUUCAGCGGCGGACGGGUGAGUAAUGCCUAGGAAUCUGCCUGGUAGUGGGGGAUAACGUCCGGAAACGGGCGCUAAUACCGCAUACGUCCUGAGGGAGAAAGUGGGGGAUCUUCGGACCUCACGCUAUCAGAUGAGCCUAGGUCGGAUUAGCUAGUUGGUGGGGUAAAGGCCUACCAAGGCGACGAUCCGUAACUGGUCUGAGAGGAUGAUCAGUCACACUGGAACUGAGACACGGUCCAGACUCCUACGGGAGGCAGCAGUGGGGAAUAUUGGACAAUGGGCGAAAGCCUGAUCCAGCCAUGCCGCGUGUGUGAAGAAGGUCUUCGGAUUGUAAAGCACUUUAGGUUGGGAGGAAGAGCAGUAAGUUAAUACCUUGCUGUUUUGACGUUACCAACAGAAUAAGCACCGGCUAACUUCGUG
rnacentral:rRNA from 1 species